GCAAGUCGUACGAGAAAGAGGUUGCUUGCAACCUUGAGUAGAGUGGCGCACGGGUGAGUAACACGUAGAUAAUCUACCUUCAAGCCUGGAAUAACUAUUCGAAAGGAUAGCUAAUACCGGAUAAAGUUAUCCAGCACAGGCUGGACAAUGAAAGAUUGCCUCUUCUUGAAAGCAAUUGUUUGGAGAUGAGUCUGCGGACCAUUAGUUUGUUGGUGGGGUAAAAGCCUACCAAGACUGCGAUGGUUAGCUGGUCUGAGAGGAUGAUC
rnacentral:rRNA from 1 species